rnacentral:rRNA from 1 species
GACGAACGCUGGCGGCGUGCUUAACACAUGCAAGUCGAACGGAAAGGCCCUGCUUUUGUGGGGUGCUCGAGUGGCGAACGGGUGUAGCAACCGGCAAGUAACCGGCCCUUAAUUUGGGGAUAAUUUCAGGAAAUUGGGGUAAUCACGGGUAAGGACCUCUGGUUGCUGGGGGGGGGUGGAAAAGUUUGGGGGGUUGGGGAUGAAUUCGCGGCUUACCACCUUGUUGGUGGGUUAGUGGCUUACCAAGGCUUUGACGGGUAGCCGGCCUGAGAGGGUAACCGGCCACAUUGGGACUGAGAUACGGCCCAGACUCCUACGGGAGGCAGCAGUGGGGAAUAUUGCACAAUGGGCGGAAGCCUGAUGCAGCAACGCCGCGUGCGGGAUGACGGCCUUCGGGUUGUAAACCGCUUUCGCCUGUGACGAAGCGUGAGUGACGGUAAUGGGUAAAGAAGCACCGGCUAACUACGUG